rnacentral:rRNA from 1 species
GGAGCUUGCUCCCUGAUGUUAGCGGCGGACGGGUGAGUAACACGUGGGUAACCUGCCUGUAAGACUGGGAUAACUCCGGGAAACCGGGGCUAAUACCGGAUGGUUGUCUGAACCGCAUGGUUCAGACAUAAAAGGUGGCUUCGGCUACCACUUACAGAUGGACCCGCGGCGCAUUAGCUAGUUGGUGAGGUAACGGCUCACCAAGGCGACGAUGCGUAGCCGACCUGAGAGGGUGAUCGGCCACACUGGGACUGAGACACGGCCCAGACUCCUACGGGAGGCAGCAGUAGGGAAUCUUCCGCAAUGGACGAAAGUCUGACGGAGCAACGCCGCGUGAGUGAUGAAGGUUUUCGGAUCGUAAAGCUCUGUUGUUAGGGAAGAACAAGUGCCGUUCAAAUAGGGCGGCACCUUGACGGUACCUAACCAGAAAGCCACGGCUAACUACGUGCCAGCAGCCGCGGUAAUACGUAGGUGGCAAGCGUUGUCCGGAAUUAUUGGGCGUAAAGGGCUCGCAGGCGGUUUCUUAAGUCUGAUGUGAAAGCCCCCGGCUCAACCGGGGAGGGUCAUUGGAAACUGGGGAACUUGAGUGCAGAAGAGGAGAGUGGAAUUCCACGUGUAGCGGUGAAAUGCGUAGAGAUGUGGAGGAACACCAGUGGCGAAAGCGACUCUCUGGUCUGUAACUGACGCUGAGGAGCGAAAGCGUGGGGAGCGAACAGGAUUAGAUACCCUGGUAGUCCACG